GUUGGGCCUGCUCGGUGAGAAGAAAAAUUUAACAGCUGCGGUAUUAUAACUGUACUAAGGUAGCAUAAUAAUUUGCCUUAUAAAUUAAGGCUAGAAUGAAUGGUUUGACGAAAAUUAGACUGUCUUUAUUUUAUUUGUUAGAAAUUAAUUUUUAUAGUGAAAAAGCUUGAAUAAUUUAAGGGGACGAGAAGACCCUAUUGAGCUUUAUUUAUUAAUAUUUAAAUAUAAAUAUAUAAUUUAUAUUAUGAAAAUUAUGUUGUAUAUAUAUAUAUAUAUAUUUGAUUGGAUUUAAUUUUGAUUGGGGUGAUCAAGGAAUAAAGAUAAAGUAACUUCCUUAAAAUUAAUGAUUGUUUUUAUGGAGUAAUAAACCAAGUUUUUUGCUUAUAAGAUAAGUUACCAUAGGGGUAACAGCGUAAUUUUUUUUGAGAGUUCAUAUUGAAAAAAGAGAUUGCGACCUCGAUGUUGGAUUAAAAAUUACCUUAAGG
rnacentral:rRNA from 1 species